GGAGAAGCUCAGCAGCUGCUGCACAUGGUCAUAGACACCUUUGCUAAUGUUCUGUAGACAGCAUAUCUUCAAUAUGAACUAAUACAGUGUUGAUAUAUCAGUAGGAAAAGUUCCAAUAUACAAGAAACCUGCUGACUCAUAGAGCCAAAGGACAGGCUUGCGUGGAAUGCCUGUGCAGGGUCGGAAUGGACUCGAUGGACCAAUUGUUCUUUUUCUUCACUGCAAGGAUUUUAUGAUUUUACUCAAAUGCAUUUUCUAAUGUUUCCUAUUUGUAUUAUCCAACCAUCCCCAGUCCUGAACGUACUUUGUCACGUGGGAGUUAACUUACCGUUGUCACCUGUUCGUUCAAUUUUUAAAUGAAUAAAUUGAUCCAUGUUAUAAUGGAACAGUCCCCCCACGUGAUACCAAUCGGGUAUAAAUGAAAACUUUGUGAUGAUAUCACAUCGGCAUUUCGUGCGGAGAGAUUUCUGCACGUCGAGAUUCAUGCAGAAAGUAUAUUCUUUAUUAUAUCAGAUGGAGAAAAUGUUUCGCACAAUUCUUGUGACAAUUCCUGGUGACUGCCUUGAAGAUUUGAAAUUGUGUGAAUCUGCCUGAGGGUUAUCUAUGAUUUCCCUCUGAAAUUGACAAUAAUUGUUGGGCAGGUUGAGGCCACAGUCACGCAGCCGAUUAGUGAUUUAGUCUCAGACUACAGAGAUCUUGUGGAAUACCUAUCAUUGCAGAUUCCAAAAGAAAUACCUGGGAAGUUAAAUUUUCGAUUGCAUAAUUAUUCACCUCUUCUGGCAACCUUUCAGUAAUCUCCAUUUCAAUUGGAGACUCCAGAAAGUUUUGAUGGAAUUAAUGAAUAGACGCGUGUUUAUGCCAUGAAUCGAUCAAACUCAUGUGGAAGUCGACCCCUAAGUUUUAUAUUUUCCAUAUAUCUCGUGCACUACUAUAUUGCAUUGUAGAACUCUCGCAAAGGAAACUGAAUAUUCUCAUUAACGCAGUUAAACAAAAUUGCAUUCAUUCAUUCAUACCUAUAACUCGAAUCAUCACUCUUUGUUUACUGUAUUUCAACUCUAUUCAUUCAUUCAUAACUCUCCUUUUCGCACUUGGUUUAGUGCAUUAGUUUGUUUCAAAGUUAUGAAAACUGAGGGUGAGGGAAAAUCCCUUAACUGAUAAACUUCUCGUUUUAUUUUUGUCGUUUGUUCGUCCUUGUAAAACCUGGUACUGAGUGAUUGUAUAGAUCUGUACUGAUGAGAAGGGAAUGAGAUUGUUAGACAAUUAUAUUAACUUGGUGUAAAAAUUGCUUUGAUGCCAGACAAAAGUGUUUGGAUAAAUAUAAAGCUCUAAAGGGAAUAGAUAAAGCUGAGUACAUUGACACGAAGCUGUGUGGUAGCUCUUGGAAGAAGCUCACUGCAGUUACAGUUUAAAAGUGGCAGUCACAAGUCUUCAUCCAAAUGUUACAUUUUUUGAAUAUUAUUCCAGGGGUGUUUUCUUUGGAAUGGUACUGGGAGUGUGUAAUACGUACAAGUCGUUUUCUUUCAUUUCCUUCAUGUGUUGUUUUGACAUUGAUGAGGUUAUGCAUUUACUGUGUAUUCAUUGCCUUUGAAUCUGUGUUAUAAGUACACAAGUUGAGUUAAGUAAUUUUAUCAUCAUUUCAUUAUUCAUAAACUUCUGUAAUGAAGUGUAAGGAAUAUUUGAGGCAUUGUUCUUUCCGGCUCAGCAAGAGAUCAAUUUGUUAAAUCAAAAGAAUAUUGUUUAUGAUCCAGCAAGAUAGAUUUACUUCUGGGUAUUGGCUUAUUCUGGAAUUAAUCACCUAGUAUCUGAACAGACGUGAGGCUGUGAAAAAAAUAGUACAACACGUAAGGAACUGAUAAACUAACCCCACUCUUCAUUCAGGCGAUUCCCCAACUAUAGCCCUCUACAUCCAAUAUAUGCUGCAGACCCUGAUCAGACAUCCACACUGAGACAUAAUUCCAUAUUACUUUUCAUAACGUUACUGCUCUUCCACUCUGCACAGAACCAAUGCAACACAAAUUCCCUCGCCCCCUGCCAGUCUUGUAAUAGUGGAACAACAUGAGACACUGAGUGGCUCACAGGUUUUGUGCACAGUAAUGUUCAUCACCCCAUAAUGGGGAUAGAAUUGCUCUGAGAAGAGAAUAAAAGGGAUUUACAAGAAUGUUGGCAGUGUCUGGGAAUUACUUCGUUACUGCGAAAAGAUGGAUAGGGUCAUUUUCUCCAUGAAAGAGCAGAAUGAGAGGUAUUGUUUUUGAUGUGUCCAAAAUAUUCAGAGUCUUGGAUGAAGAUCUCAUCCAGAAUCCAGGACACAUUUACCAGGAGAUGCAGAGCGAGAAAAAAUACAUGGAAGGAUUAUCAGGGACAUGAGGGCUAACCCUUUCAUUCAUGUGACCAGAUGACAGUCGGUAAUCCUAGAAAGAGGACGGAAAAUCAAUGUGGCUGCAACAGAUCCCUUUUAUUAUUUCAUUAAAAUACUUCACUUCCAAACCUGCCUCACAGAGGAAUUCUAAGAAUGAGAGAAUCAGACAGUACAGAAGAGACCCUUCCGUCCAUCCAGUUUGUGCUGUUAAAGCGACACAAAAUCUACACUCAUUCCAGCUUAAAGAACUGUACUCGUAGUCCUGAAUGCUGUGCUCCUUCAAGUUUUCAUCUCGGCAGUUUUUCACGUUUAUGAGGUUUCCUGCUUCCACCAUUCUCCCAGGCACUGAUUUACCAGGCCCCACCACUCUCUGGCUGAAAACCUCUUGCUCGGAUCCCCGCUAAAACCUUUCCCUUUCAUCCUAAAAAUGAUUUCCUCCUGCCAUCUCUUGAUUGCCUGCCCACGUUUAGUCAAAGCCAGGAUUGAGGAGCUUCGAAAUGGGUCAGCCCAUUGGAGCUGACAUGUUCAAACUCGACAUCUGAACCCUUCAAAUGGCCCCAAUUAAGAUCUUCCAUUGCUCUCUGGUCUGAUGCGGAGAACGUUUGAUAAUUAAUUUCCGAUUUGCAUUUCACAUCGUGUCACUUUCAGGGAAUUUCUUGCUGACUUUGGUCCUUGCACGUGUUAAAUGGAACCUGUCAAAUGCACAAUGCACUGCCUUUUGGCUAUGGCAACAUCGGAUCUAAUGUUCAUUGUCAUGAAGAUCAUACUGU